rnacentral:rRNA from 1 species
UACGUAGGGUCCGAGCGUUGUCCGGAUUUAUUGGGCGUAAAGAGCUCGUAGGCGGCUCAGUUAGUCGGAUGUGAAAACUCGGGGCUCAACCCCGAGACGCCAUCCGAUACUGCUGUGGCUUGAGUCUGGUAGGGGAACACGGAAUUCCUGGUGUAGCGGUGAAAUGCGCAGAUAUCAGGAGGAACACCGGUGGCGAAGGCGGGUCUCUGGGCCGAUACUGACGCUGAGGAGCGAAAGCGUGGGGAGCGAACAGG